GUGCACCAGGCGCGAAAACUUUACAAUGCAGGCAACUGUGAUAAGGGAACCCCGAGUGCCCGUAUGGACGGGCUGUUCAGGUGCUUAAAAACCACCUGGAGAAAGGGCCGGGCAAGACCGGUGCCAGCCGCCGCGGUAAUACCGGCGGCUCGAGUGGUGGCCACUAUUACUGGGCUUAAAGCGUCCGUAGCUUGGUCGUUAAGCCUCUGGGGAAAUCUUCCGGCUCAACCGGAAGGCGUCUCAGGGGAACUGGCGGCCUAGGGAUCGGGAGAGGUGAGAGGUACUCUGGGGGUAGGAGUGAAAUCCUGUAAUCCUCAGGGGACCACCUGUGGCGAAGGCGUCUCACCAGAACGACUCCGACAGUGAGGGACGAAAGCUGGGGGAGCAAACCGGAUUAGAUACCCUUGUAGUCC
rnacentral:rRNA from 1 species